CAAUAGCGUAUAUUAAAGUUGUUGCAGUUAAAAAGCUCGUAGUUGGAUUUCUGGUUGAAGCGACCGGUCGGGCGUUGAUUCGUCUGCACUGGAGUCGGUUUUGGCCAUCCUCUAGGAAAGUGCGUCUGGUAUUAAGUUAUCGGGCGUAUGAUCCUGGUCUUUUACUGUGAAAAAAUUAGAGUGUUUAAAGCAGGCCUUCGCCUUGAAUACAUUAGCAUGGAAUAAUAAGAUAGGACUUUGGUCUAUUUUGUUGGUUUGCAGACCGAAGUAAUGAUUAAUAGGGAUAGUUGGGGGUAUUUAUAUCCCGAUGUCAGAGGUGAAAUUCUUAGAUUUUCGGAAGAUAAACUUAUGCGAAAGCAUUUACCAAGGAUGUUUUCAUUAA
rnacentral:rRNA from 1 species